ACACAGCCUUUCCAACCAGUAAACAACUUCCGGUUCAAUAUGGCGGCGCACGGAGAACGGACUAAUCAUCUGAAGGAUUGUUUACUUCAGCAGGAACACUUCAACUGAAAAAGUUUGGCAACUUUGUACUAAACUUUGAGGACAAGGACGUGACCAUGGACAGUGUUGCAGGUGGAAGAAAGCAUAUGCCACUGCCUCACUGUCACCCCUCUUCAAGAUGUGCUCUGGAGGCAGGAUCAGGCUCUUCAUCUCCAACAAGUACUGCACAGAGGAAGAGGAAGAAACACAAAAUCUCUGGACAGUGGACUUAAUUGGAAACUAGGGAGAGAGGCAUUGGGGAAUGAGCUGAGGAAUGGAGCAACAGCCAGAUUUCAACCCAGGGCCGCCUUCUUAGAGGGCAUCAGCCUCUGCACAUAACCUUGCGAAGCUGAUGUGUUGGAUUCAUCAGGCAGAGCCAUCUUGCAAUGCUUCAGCCUGGAACAUUUGUGCCUGGUCUGAGAAUGAAUAGACUAACCAGCAUCAUUUGAGGAGACUGAGUUUGUGGCUGCAGGCGUGGUUUAGUUGAACUGCAAGUCUGUAAACAAUGGCAACAAGUGGCAGUUUUAUCAGAACUGAACAAUAUAUUGUAUAGAAGAGAAGCAAAGAGCCAGACUGAAAGCUUUUCUUGGCAGAGUUUAAUUUACUAACUGGCUCCACUUACAGUGAACAAUGAUAACUGCUGCCUGUCCAGCUUGCUUUGUGUCAUUUACUUCACACAUCCACUUCAUCAUAUAUUUUGUUGCUCUAAUUUGACAAACAGAACAUCCAUCUUGUUUUCUUCUAAGGUAUUUUGUUCUAUGGCUGCACCCCCCAAGCACCAUCUGGGAUGUUGGGAUAUCUCUUUGAGUCCCUUUAAAAACAUAUCGUUCACUGGAGGGCUUUUACUGAUGUUAUAUAGGAGUUGAAUACAAUGAGUCUUUAAAGUAUCUGUUUUACUUACUUUUUGUAUUUUACUGGGUUUUAUGCACCAAGCCGGUGCAUAAACAAAAUUUGCCCCAUGGAAUUUGCUGAUUUCAAUCUAAAGCAUUUUGUAAUGUCUGUUUUGAAAAGUGCAUUAAAAAUAAAGAGUUAUUAUUAUUUAUUUAUUAUAUAUAUGAUGGAUAUGUGAUGUGAAACAAUCAAUCUGACACAUCAGGUCACUCUGUACAUAACCACAAGGCUACAUGUGCUCAAAAUGAACAUUUGUAUUGCUUUACAUGGACUGUAAUUGAAUGCAAGGACAUUUCCCACUUAUCAUUCUGCAGCC